UUAAAAAUGCUAAUCAAUGAAAAUUGAAAAUUGAUAAUAGUAUAGUCCUGUAAAGGAUAGGUGGACUCUGGGGUCUGCAUCACUGACCAAAAACUAUAUGGACUGCGCGCGCCUCGUUUUCAAUACAGGCUUUAAGAGCGCUACCCUGUUGACUGGCGGGAGUGCCCCAGCCGCCACAUUGGAAAGGCCAGGUCACAGCUGACUGGCGAAGUUACCAGUUCACUUUCCACUGGCCUCUUUAGCCUCAGGCACUCACUGUGCUGUUUUCGUCUUCUAAAUUAUUAUUUUUGCACGUCUAAGAUGCCCGGGUGCACUGCUUGGAAGUGUUCUAGGCGAAGAACACCGAGGAAAGGAAGAAAGGCUAUACUUUUCACAAGUUCCCACUUGGAGAUCCAGACAGAUCAAAGAGGUGGUUGGCAAGCCUGAGGAGGGAAGGAUUUUCAGCCCACCAGGAAUACAGUGAUUUGCUAUGCUCACUUCGAUGACAAGUGCUUUGACAGAACAGACCAGACUGUUCGAUUGAGACCUGAUGCUGCGCCCACCCUGUUCGAUUUUCCACCCCAUCUCCAGAAGACACCUGUACUGUAACGCCAAGGCGUCAUGCUGAACGCAGAACCGUGGCUCAGCCAGAAACUACUCCCAGUGCUGAUCAAGAGGAGGCUGGAGAGAGUGUGGGUCCAUCUUCAGUCAUCAGUGACGACCACAGUUAUGCGACUGUAUGUGUAUGUGCUCAUUUUGUAACGAUGUGUAAGCGUGCGCGUGUGAUAUAAGCAAAUAGACGUUGGUGCGUUGGUGUGUGUGUCGCGUGCGUGAAUAUUGUUCAUACAUGCAUUUAUGCGUGCUGAAAAACUUGGCGAUACUCGCUGUGGCUCUCAUUGUGUGUGUGUGGCGUGCGUGAAUAUUGUUCGUACAUGCAUUUAUAUAAGCGCCUAGAGCUGUGUUUA